CUGCCUGCCAAUUACCAUCUACAACUAUCAUAGCAUCAGAAAUUGAACUGACACCUGAAACUUCAUUUUUAAGCUUGACUGGAGGAUACUGCGGCCGCAGCAUUAGUUGUUUUUUGUCCUUCGACUUCCCAACGUUAUAUGGGGGCAUUUGGAACAGCUUCAUCCAAGUCAGUUCUGUAACAUCAGGGAUUGAAACGAUUAACAUGCAUUUGUAGAUGUACCAACAGACUUACCUGAAAACACCUAAUAUCUCUAUUUACAAAACAAGAAAGCUUUUUGUCCUUCAACUUCCCAACGUUAUAUGGGGGCAUUUGGAACAGCCUCAUCCAAGUCAGUUCUGUAACGUCAGGGAUUGAAACGAUUAACAUGCAUUUGUAGAUGUACCAACAGACUUACCUGAAAACACCUAAUAUCUCUAUUUA
rnacentral:lncRNA from 1 species